UAGAUAUUUUCUUUAAAUUUAAAGAAUUUGGCGGUGAUUUAGUCUAGUCAGAGGAACCUGCUUUUAUAUCGAUAUAACACGCAGAAUCUAACUUAUUUUUGUUUACAGUUUGUAUACCAUCAUUAGCAGAUAAUUUUUAAAGAAUAGAAUUAUUGUAAUUAAUUAUUUAAUAAAAUUAGAUCAAGGUGCAGCUUAUAAAUAAGUUAAAGUGGGUUACAAUAAGUUUUACUUAAACGAAAUAAAAUUAGAAUUUUUUUAAAGAAGGUGGAUUUGAUUGUAAUAUAAGUUUAAUAAGCUUAUAAGAUAAAAGCUCUAAGUUGUGUACAUAUCGCCCGUCACUCU
rnacentral:rRNA from 1 species